ensembl:lncRNA
GAAUAAUAUAAGAAAUUUCAGCUGUACAAAAUCCGGACACAGAUCGGACGCACUGUGUGAACCUGAAGCUGAUGCUGAACAUGGAUUCACGUAAGGCGCUGGAACAACUACGCUGACAGACCAAAUGUGAUGGCUGCCAAAAUACAGCCGACUCCAAAAGAACUGCGUCCCAGAGCUGCGUGUGUGGGAACACACUCCUGCUUUUGGAGAAAAAGAUUAAAAAUACCCCCUUAAGGAAAAAAUGUCAGGAGACGGAGUCGGGCGGAGAGCAGCAUGGAGCGGGUGGUCGUCUGGAAGCCAGCUCAUUAAAACAUUCCUGUAAUCAAGUAGCAAAAUAUUCCAGGACCCAGCUACAGAUUUACUAACCAACAUGAUAUUUUCAUUCCUUCUGGGUCCUUUUGAACUUUUCCAGUUUAACUGCGCAACACAAGUCAUGGCCAUUAAUAGUGCUGCUGGUUAACCUUAUUUUUAUUCAUUUAUUUGUUUAUUUUGGAUCGAUUUGGUUUUCAAAUCAUCAACCUAAGCCUAAAUUAAAAGGAGAGACAUUUCAGAAAAGGGAAGGAAUGAUGAUCAGGUCCGAUUGAGUCAGUGAGAAUGAGACUAUUUAACUGCAAAGGUUGGCAUUGAAUGUAACCCAAAGUUUUGGGCAACGAUGAUCUGAUAAUUAUAAACCAAAAUAUUCAUUUCAGUGAUUAAUGUACAACAUGACUGAAGCUGGCUCUUUAUGUUGUUUUACUCACAAUAUCUUGGCUACGCAGAAAUGCCAAAAACACUUGAAGGGGCGAAAGUGAUUAUUUGACUCGAAACCAGAAGAAAAGCCAACCCCUAAAUC